UUGGCCCUGCCCUGUCGGUUUUAGGUUGGGGUGACCACGGAGUAUAAUAUACCCUCCAUGAAAAAGGGAGUAAUAAUCCUUAUUAGAGAACAACACUUCUAAAAAUUAAAACAUUAAUUUAUAAUGAUCCGAUAUUCGAUCAACGAACCAAGUUACCCUGGGGAUAACAGCGCAAUCUGCCUCAAGAGCCCCUAUCGACAGGCGGGUUUACGACCUCGAUGUUGGAUCAGGGCAUCCCAGUGGUGCAGCAGCUACUAAAGGUUCGUUUGUUCAACGAUUAA
rnacentral:rRNA from 1 species